ACUCCAUUUAAAGGGAGUAUUGGUUUCAGAUGAUCAUUUUGCAAUUAAACCAUAACUUUGAUCACUUAUAUCAUAGAACACAUAACGGAUAACUGUAAUUAAUGACACGCAAAGACGUGCGGAGCAGGUAGAUUUAUAUUCUAGGGCUUUGCAGAGAAUUUCCCAGAUUCCCACCGUAGUUCAGCAAAACUAGUGAAUAUUUUAUAACAGAAACUAUCAUUGACG